rfam:Gossypium hirsutum cultivar TM-1 chromosome 21, whole genome shotgun sequence
CACGUUAGCGCGCUUUGCUGACGUGGCAACAAAUUGCCCCCUCGUGGACGCGAUUUGUUGCCACGUCAGCAAAGCGCGCUGACGUGG